UGGCCAUGUGCUUUUGGUUAUUGUUGAUGGCCAUUAUUUUCAGAUCUUUCCCAUGUUUAUCCUUGUUUCUUAUCAUUUUCAUUUUCUGUGUUUCCCAUUAUAAAAAGGUCAGGUGAGUGAAGUACCCUUUGCAGGCUUGAUGUAAAGCCCCUACUUGUAUGUUCGUCCUUUCAGGAUUUUUAGUUUCCUUUUUGUAUGAUGUGGUGUCUGAUUUCAGUCGACCCAGUUCUAAAGUUGGAGCCCCUGAUUUAAGUAAGCAGGUAAAACAAAGGAGAAGUAAUGGAAUGCCUGUAGAUGUUGUGAUUUCCCAGGACCUUAGGUGUCCGGUGGUUUACAAUCACAAAUUCUCUUUCUAUGUAACUUCAGUGUUUUGGCAGCUCACAAACUUGACCUUUUUAUUUUUUAAUGCAGCAUCCAUACAAGAUAAACAAUGCAGAAGCAUCUCUGUAUGGUGUGGAAUAACAACUGUAUUCCUGGUGCAUUUCUGUUGGGCAGCAUGUAGUCACAUUAAAAAGAAAUGCAGGAAUAAAGACAACAAAGAAGGGAAUGAUCCUUUGAUUCUUGAAGAGCAAGCCAAUCCAGUGGAAGAUAUCCAUACUGUGUAGUAAUUGGAUCAAGCAGCUUCCCCUUCACAAAAGUCAUACCUGAUCUUUGGCUCAUCCAUCCUUCUAUAAUCUUUAAUUCAGAAUACCAUAAUUUGUCCCAUCUUGCUAUUAUUUUUCCUUAGACUUUAUCUUGAUAUUAUGCUGACUUGAGAUCCUCUCCAGCUCAGGUCUCUCAUGUGAAAUUAUGACCUGAUUAAAUAAAGAUGUGCUAAGAAGCAAAUUAUAAGCAUACUUUGAUCUGCUAUUAACCCAAGCUACACGGAAUGGGAAAGAGUUGAGAGAAAGCAGGAGGAUAAUCCCAGAGUGUCAGAACUCCAUCUAUGUCCUUAUCUAGA